AAUACGAAAUUUUAAGGAACAAACGAGAAGGAAACUGCUGAGAGCAGUAAGUGUACAGACUUUAGAAAUUACCAGGCAUUACUGAGCAUUUCUAAGCAUUACUGGUGCAUCAUUACUGGGCAUUACUGGGGCAUUAAUGCGCAUUAUAGCGGGCAUAAUUAAAUCUCUGAGCACUAUUACGUUUAUUUUUAAACUGAUAAUUGUUUUGUGUCAAACAUUAUAUUUAAAAUGUGUAAUAACAGUGCUCAAUCGGAAUUAGUUACAACUUUCCGGGCAGAUUUCCGAAGCGACACCUAUUGCUCCCCCCACUACCGUACGAGACUCGGCGGCCGGGCCAUCGAUCGCGCACAUAACGCUGUUUCUCAGAAGCGUCCCAUAUCGAUAAUACGAGUAUACGUUUGUUUCAGCAAUCUUAUUAAAUUCUAUAACAUUGAUCGUAAUAUAACAUUUAUACUGAAAAGUGGUGUAUUAUCUGCAGCAUGAUACCAUGAUCCAUUAAGAAGCUUUACGUAAAGAAAGAAAAAGAAAUUAUGUCUUAGAGAAAAAGGUAAAUCUACUUAACAUUACAUAAUCAAAAAAUGUAAAACAAUUUGAAAUUUUGGAAGUCCAUUGGUGACGGCAAUUUCCUUAGAGGAUGUUAAAUCCGUUAAAAUAGAGCGUCUCAUGCUAGAAAGUAUGUAGACGAUGUGACAUAAUCUCAAAUUUAAAUUAAGUAGCAAAAGUGCAAUCAAAAUUUUCAAACGUCAAAGUAAUUCACAAUAUAACGUAACAUUUUGUUCCGAUGCGUUCAAAAUUCUUCACUACAUUCAAAGAUACUCUGCAGAAAUUUUAUCUAAAAUUAGCGAAAAAGUUUGUUUCAAACAUCUCUUAUACCUUUAUUUAUAAUAUUCAAUUAUCUAUUAAUAUAUAAAAAAUACUUUACCGAUAGCAAGCAUACAUGCAGGAUUUGAGCAAAAAUUAAUUAAUUCAGAAGUUGAUGUGUUUGCUGAAGCUGAAACAUCUUUAAAUAUAAAAAUUUUUAUCACUCUAAUUUAUUAAUAGUUAAUGGUUUUGCAAAUAAGAUUGUUAUAUCCAAUAUAAACAAUUCUGAUAUUAGAGACAUUAUUGUUUGCUAGGAACGGAUUACAUAAAAUUAUAGACAAAGAAGAUCUACCAAAGUAUUAUGGCAUGUAUUGGAAAAAUCUUUCACUAUUUGAAGUAGUACCUAGACAUAUAUCUCUUCUUUCUAAAUAUUAUAAAAAAAAAUUAUUACAUAAAGACUCCAUAGAAAAGACGUAUGAA
rnacentral:lncRNA from 13 species